rfam:Camelus ferus unplaced genomic scaffold scaffold843, whole genome shotgun sequence.
GUGGGUAUAGCUCAGUGGUAGAGUGUACGCUUAACAUGCACGAGGUCCUGGGUUCAAUCCCCGGUACCUCCA